AGUUUCUGCGUAAUAUGGGUGAGUUCUUAGGUGCUAGUGUAAACCGCAUCGUGUGCGUUCCUGACUAAAAUACGACACAUAUAUACCACACUACCAACUUCACCAUUAUGGAGUCCUGUCCUUAGAAGAUGUCAGAUCAGUAUUUUGCACUCAGAGUAACCACUUCUAUCACAGUACCAAUUUGCUUAUCACAAAAUAUUAUAUUCUAAACUGUGACUUGGACUUUAUCCGGACAUACAACACAAUUAAAACGUAAGCAAGCAAUUCAUUUAUCAUCACAGUUUGAAUUGAGUUCCAAAAGGAGUAGGAAGAAGCAGAAGAUUAUCCAGUCCUACAGUACUCCUACUCAAGUUUAAUUUUAUAAUACCAUAAUGAAGUGAAUUAUAUUUAUACAGCUCUUUUCUCUAGUGAUUCAAAGUGCUUUUACAUAGUAAAACCCAAUACCCAAGUUAUAUUUAAACCAGUGUGGGUGGCACUGGGAGCAGGUGGGUAAAGUGUCUUGCCCAAGGACACAACAGCAGAAGCGGGGAGCGAACCUGGAACCGUCAAUUUGCUAGCACUACCACUCUACCAACCGAGCUAUACCACUCCUCCCACACAAACAGUGCAUAUGUAUGUAUAAACAAACAAUAACCUUGGUACACAAUUAUCAAAGACAACUAUUUUCGAUACAUUUAUUGUUUGCAGAUGGUUGGAUAACUUGAUUUUAAAAUGUAAGUUAAGAUGACAAGUAGAUAUUGAAGUGUUUAUUUUUGAUAACUUUCUAAGAAUGCUUGGAACAUCAGAUAAUAUUAAAGUGUUAUCUGAUGUGCAUGCGAUUUUCUGUCAAGAUUGGAAAAACACAUACAUUCGUCAGAAGUGCUAUUGACAGUUUGGUUAUGUUCGGGUUUCCCUUUGUUAAGAAUCACUUCCGGUCCUGGUGCAGUGUUUCCUGUUUGGUCCCUGUGUUUUGCAGCACCUUCACUUUCUGUUCCAUGUCCUGUCAGCAAACCUGUUCUUUGUUUAAUUAGUUGUAUUUAGUUCCACUUUGGCAGCACGGUGAUAGAGGGGUUAGUGCAUGUGCCUCACAAUACGAAGGUCCUGAGUAGUCCUGAGUUCAAUCCCGGGCUCGGGAUCUUUCUGUGUGGUUUGUAUGUUCUCUCCGUGACUGCGUGGGUUCCCCUGGGUACUCUGGCUUCCUCCCACCGCCAAAAACAUGCACCUGGGCUGCACCUAGGUUGAUUGGCAACACUAAAUUGACCCAAGUGUGUGAAUGUGAGUGUGAAUGUUGUCUGUCUAUCUGUGUUGGCCCUGCGAUGAGGUGGCGACUUGUACAGGGUGUAUUCCUCCUUCCGCCCGAAUGCAGAUGAGAUAGGCUCCACCACUACCCGCAACCCCAAAAGGGACAAGAGGUGGAAAAUGGAUGGUUCCACCUGCGUCCUUCCUUCAGUGUUGGGUCAUUCUUGCUAUUCCUUUUUCCUGGAGACUGAUGUCUGUUACUCUUUCUUCCCUGCUUCCUUGUAAGUACUAAUUUUUUUUAAUUUUUUUCGUACUUACAUUCCGCCUGAAGUUCUUUGCAUUUAUAAGAUGUGGCAAAUCUUUUGCCACAUCUUAUUAAUGCCCGAAAAAUCAUUUUAAGUGCCCAACCACAUCAUUUUAUAUGGCUUGUGAAAGUCUGGAAAUAAAAAAAAAGCACUUUCUGGCUAAAUGUCACAUGGCGGUGACGUUGCUUUGGCGUGAGCCUCAGUAUGCAGAGAUUGGGAGGCGGAAUGCAAGAAUGAUGUGGUGGGUCAAAAUACAAUUAUUUGGCAAGCCAUGAUUAAAUGAAGUUAUUGAAAAGAUCUUGCAAGCUCAAAAACGUUUUGCUCACAUCAACGAACCUCCUGGAACCCCUGUUCUUCAAACCUAGUGACGUCCCUGAUGCUACGGUAGCUCUGUGUAGUGUCGAUGGUGCGGCAUUACAGCAGAAAGCAUAAGCAUUAACAGGAAAUUAACAAGUAAAGAGAAUCAUAUAUUAACUGUUGGUGUCAGUGAAGUGAAUUAAUUAACUAUGUUCUACAUAUGGUGAAUGUUUAUAUUCACCUUUGAGAAAACGAACCACCAGGUUUAAGUAAAUAAUGGUUGAGCCCAUAAUAAAUAAAGGAGCCUUAGUUGGACAUUCGCAUGUGGACUGGAAUUAGUUCUCUCAUAAGACGAAGCAAUAAAACGAGGCUUCGGAAUGCAAAAGUUGCAGCUCUAUUCUGGGAGAGAGAUUCCAUGCUUAUUUUAACGACAAAGUUAAGUCAAAGUUAUGGUAUAAAUCUGUGUUCUUUCCAGACACUUACACACAAACAUCUCCUUUUAUGGUCAGGAUGUGCUCUCUUGACUUUGCACACACACCACGCACACACACACACAGGAAGUAGGAAUAUACAGUAUAACUGAUGAUUUGUCUUAGGAAUUCUUCAUUUUUGGCCUGAACUCCUACAGGUACUGCAGACCUAUAUAAUGAUGCUUGCUCUUAAUACAGCAACUUUUGGUUCAGUAAAGCGUCUCAGACGUCUCUUUUGAUCCAGCCUCCGGACGAGGAUGACAAGACCAGAAAUACACUUCAUCAGCAUUGUCACAGUCAGUACACACAGUGUAAGAGGAGGUUAGAUCUAUCUGGUGUCGAUAUUAAUAGUAUCAGCUCAUAAAUGAUGCUGCUUUGAUUUUUGUAUCCUAUUAACAUUGUUUUAAUCAAAGAAUUCCAUCUAUCCAUUUCCUGCCGCUUAUUCCCUUUGGUGUCGCGGGGGGCGCUGAUGCCUAUCUUGGCUACAUCGGGGUACACCUUGGACAAGUCGCCACCUCAUCACAGGGCCAACACAGAUAGACAGACAACAUUUGCACUCACACACUAGGGGCAAUUUAGUGUUGCCAAUCAACCUAUCCCCAGGUGCAUGUCUUUGGAGGUGGGAGGAAGCCGGAGUACCCGGAGGGAACCCACGCAGUCACGGGGAGAACAUGCAAACUCCACACAGAAAGAUCCCGGGCCCGGGAUUGAACUCAGGACUACUCAGGACCUUCGUAUUGUGAGGCAGCACACUAACCCCUGUACGACCGUGCUGCUCGAUCAAACAAUUUUUAGGUAUUUAUUUUAAGUGCAAUUAACAAUAGCAACACAAUAUUUUAAUCAGUUCCAUAUUAAUUUUUAUUAUGUGAUCAAACAAUUGCACAUAAUCAAAAUGAAUAUGGAACUGAUUGCUAUCGUUAAUUGGGCAAUUGCACUUAAAACACCUAAAAAAAUGUACAGUUAAUACAUGUGAUCGGAACAUUCCUACAACGAACCCUGUUAAAAAGCUUGCCAGAACAUUAUGAACUUAAUUGUAUUUACAAUUGUAAAUAUACAUUUUUUAAAGUUUACCUCAUCUUGGUUGUACCAGGCAGGACCACAUGUGGUGUUUUUAAUGCUAUUUAUUGAAUCUCUGUAGAAGCGUGAAUCAUCUCAAGCAACUUCGCAAGAGAUUCUCAAACAGAUUCAAGUGCAGUCUUUUAUUUUCCUAUGUUCCAACACAUUGUUGCUUUUCUAAUUGUGUGUAAUGUUAUAGUGUCCAAAAUAUUAAAUAUUCCAUCCAUCCAGUGUCCAAAAUAUUAAAUAUUGUAAAAUAAAACCUCUGCCCUGUUUUUGAUGAAUAUGUGUGCCUACUGCUUGACUGAAUUUUAAUGUUGGUCAUUAUGGUGGUACUUGGAGAGCCAAGUUUUUUUCCCGAGAUACUUGUUGAAAAUAGUUUGAGAACCACUGCAAAAAUCUUUAUCUGCAUUGUACUUGAAACUGAGAAGUCACAACAAUUCAUAAUUAAAUGUCAUUGUGACAAAACGUAAUUUUGCUAUGACUUAGCAGCAGCAGGUUCCAUUGUUGGAAAUCAAAUGUAGUUCUGACGUAAAGCUCAUUGCAAAGAUCCCUUCCCGUCUCAGUCAAUUCAGUGUCCAUCUUUGCAGAUACUGUCCUUUGUCCUUGUUGUAAGCACAAUACCAAU